AUGCAAAAAUUUGCCAAGAUUUCCUGCAGGGCAACUGAACAUACAAGUGUGGAGAGAUGGAGGUAGGAGAGAGACAGAAACCAUGCCCUCUGGAUCUUCAUCUUCUCAGUGCAGCUACUGCUGAGGCUGUGGUGAAGUCCCUCUGACACCACAUAUCUGGGAAUGAAGAGCUUCUCAGAGCUGAUUGGAAAUGGCAUUGCUGCACUGAAACGUAACUGGAGGAAAUACAUCUCCCGAAGAAGAAAAUAUAAUGCACUUUAAGGAUCUGACUUCUGGUGAAAAAUUCAAGCCUAGAGAAAACUUGCCUGCUUUAUUAAGAAGAAUGGGUUGGACAAUCUUCUUCAGUUCCAAAAGAUAUCUGAACGCCAUGCUGAGCUUAAUCUCUGCAGCAUGCUCUGUGCUUCUCUUCUCCUCCUGAUGCACUGCAUGGUUAGCCUGAGGAGAAGGAUAAAGAAACUGGCCUCCAAGAUGGUAAUCACUAGUGGAAAUGAAGAAGAUAAAGGCAAUCAAGAAAAGGAGAGCAAAGAAGAAACCAUCCUGGCAAUGCUUGGGAUUAUUGGAACAAUUCUGAACCUCAUUGUGAUCAUUUUUGUGUACAUUUACACAACAUUGUGAGCCAGAAGGCACACGAUGAGAACCAAUGAAACGGCUGCUAAAGGUGACAACAAACAUUGUAGGGUAUUGACAUGUUGCUUAAUCGGAAUUGAUUCUGUACUAUAUUACCACAUCAUAAACGCACUGCCUGCAGGCAGUGAAAGCUGAAGCACAAUUAAUGUAACCAGACUUUUUCACGCAGUGACAAGCUAAACUCUUCUGUCCUGCUCCUUGCCCUUUUUGUGGAGGUUUGGUUUUGCAGGAAAUGACUGCAAUUAUGUAAGUAGCAGCUUUGAAGAAUUCAAUCUGGGAUACAAACCCAAUAGAAAGAGACUGUACACUAUUUAGAAUUACUAAUGUAUACCAUAUACUCUGAAAGAUAGCUAGAUAGCACAGAUUUUGUGUCCAUUAGGUCAAAUGAUUUUUUUUCUCCUUGACUUUUCAAUUUUAUUUACAUUGAAACUGACAGGCUUUUUAUUUAGAAUGAACAUAUGGUGCAAUCAUGGAAAAACAAUUCCGUCCAGCAAGAUCUGCCUAAAAACAAUAAAAUGUUGGGGGAAAUAAGUGACAUGAUUAUUUUUUUUCUUUCUCAUUUGCUUGACAUUUGUGUCUGUUCAUGCCAAUGUUUAUAAAUAUAUAUUUUUAAUAAAUGUGCUAUAUUUUUAGCAUGA